GACGAACGCUGGCGGCGUGCUUAACACAUGCAAGUCGAGCGGUAAGGCCCUUUCGGGGGUACGACGAGCGGCGAACGGGUGAGUAACACGUGGGUGACCUGCCCUCAGCUCCGGGAUAAGCCUGGGAAACCGGGGUCUAAUACUGGAUAUGACUCCAUGACGCAUGUUGUGGGGUGGAAAGCCUUGUGCGGCUGAGGAUGGGCCCGCGGCCUAUCAGCUUGUUGGUGGGGUGAUGGCCUACCAAGGCGACGACGGGUAGCCGGCCUGAGAGGGCGACCGGCCACACUGGGACUGAGACACGGCCCAGACUCCUACGGGAGGCAGCAGUGGGGAAUCUUGCGCAAUGGGCGAAAGCCUGACGCAGCGACGCCGCGUGAGGGAUGACGGCCUGUGUAC
rnacentral:rRNA from 1 species